rnacentral:rRNA from 1 species
UACAGAGGUCUCAAGCGUUGUCCGGAUUUAUUGGGCGUAAAGCGCGUGUAGGUGGCCAUGUAGGUCCGCUGUGAAAACUCGAGGCUCAACCUCGAGCUGUCGGUGGAAACCACUUGGCUAGAGUCCGGAAGAGGAGAGUGGAAUUCCUGGUGUAGCGGUGAAAUGCGCAGAUAUCAGGAAGAACACCAAUGGCGAAGGCAGCUCUCUGGGACGGUACUGACACUGAGACGCGAAAGCGUGGGGAGCGAACAGG